GAUGAACGCUGGCGGCGUGCCUAAUACAUGCAAGUCGAGCGAACAGACGAGGAGCUUGCUCCUCUGACGUUAGCGGCGGACGGGUGAGUAACACGUGGAUAACCUACCUAUAAGACUGGGAUAACUUCGGGAAACCGGAGCUAAUACCGGAUAAUAUAUUGAACCGCAUGGUUCAAUAGUGAAAGACGGUUUUGCUGUCACUUAUAGAUGGAUCCGCGCCGCAUUAGCUAGUUGGUAAGGUAACGGCUUACCAAGACAACGAUGCGUAGCCGACCUGAGAGGGUGAUCGGCCACACUGGAACUGAGACACGGUCCAGACUCCUACGGGAGGCAGCAGUAGGGAAUCUUCCGCAAUGGGCGAAAGCUUGACGGAGCAACGCCGCGUGAGUGAUGAAGGUCUUCGGAUCGUAAAACUCUGUUAUUAGGGAAGAACAAAUGUGUAAGUAACUAUGCACGUCUUGACGGUACCUAAUCAGAAAGCCACGGCUAACUACGUG
rnacentral:rRNA from 1 species